rnacentral:rRNA from 1 species
AGCGAACGCUGGCGGCAGGCCUAACACAUGCAAGUCGAGCGCCCCGCAAGGGGAGCGGCGGACGGGUGAGUAACGCGUGGGAAUUUUCCUCAAGGUACGGAACAACUCAGGGAAACUUGGGCUAAUACCGUAUGACGUCGAGAGACCAAGGAUUUAUCGCCUUGGGAUAAGCCCGCGUCAGAUUAGGUAGUUGGUGGGGUAACGGCCUACCAAGCCUGCGAUCUGUAGCUGUUCUGAGAGGACGAUCAGCCACACUGGGACUGAGACACGGCCCAGACUCCUACGGGAGGCAGCAGUGGGGAAUCUUGCGCAAUGGGCGAAAGCCUGACGCAGCCAUGCCGCGUGAGUGAUGAAGGUCUUAGGAUUGUAAAGCUCUUUCGCCCGUGACGAUGAUGACGGUAACGGGAGAAGAAGCCCCGGCUAACUUCGUGCCAGCAGCCGCCGUAAAAC